rnacentral:rRNA from 1 species
UGCGCAGGCGGAAUAUUAAGUCAGUGGUGAAAGCCUACAGCUCAACUGUAGAACUGCCAUUGAAACUGAUAUUCUUGAGUAUAGUUGUAGUGGGCGGAAUAUAUCAUGUAGCGGUGAAAUGCUUAGAUAUGAUAUAGAACACCGAUCGCGAAGGCAGCUCACUAAACUAUAACUGACGCUCAGGCACGAAAGCGUGGAGAGCAAACAGGAUUAGAUACCCUGGUAGUCC